CGUGUUUGCUUUGAGCAGAACCUUUCAUGUGCAGACCUGUGGCCAUGAGUGAAAUGUGUAGAAAUAUUAAAACAUGUCUUGUGACAGUUGAUGAAAAUGAAGAUGAUGGAGAUAACGGUUGAUUUGGUAUAAAGCUUGUUGCACUGGUACACACGGUUCCAGUCCCGAGGUUAGGGGAGUGUUGGCGUGCCCUUAAAAAAGUUAAACCCCGCCAAUAUCUGUAUUUGUCUGUUUCAAGUCACGAGACGGUAAUGCAGUGUUUGUCGUUUGUUUCUAUAUACUAUAUUUGCUUCUUUCUUAUUUAUUUUGUACAUUAAUCAGGUCGUUAGAUUUUUUGUUUGUUUUACAUUAUUCAUUUCGGGAAUUGAAGACUAUGCAGUAUGAAUGUUACUCAUUGUUGAAGCCCGUACGGGACCUUUAAUUGUUUUAUGUCUCAUUUGGUCUCAUUUCGAGAGUUGUCUCAUUUGCAAUCAUAUCACAUCUUCUUUUUUAUAUGGAAUACUUUUGAAGUUUGGGGUACGUUGCAAGGGAUAAAAGGGGGGAUAUAGUUACAAAACCUUUAUUGUAAUAGAUAUUAACCAGAGUUAAAUACACAACAAAAGAUAAUACUAUGGUAGCAGUAAUAAUUGUGAAAAAAACCCAAAAGCAACGAGUAAUCUAUAAAAAAAAAACUGAAGUAUCCGCAAAUUCAAUUUGAGGUCAUAUUUGACUGUAGUGUUCUAUGGCUUUGGUUUGAUGACUCACCCACUAUGAUAGUUUAAAAAAUAAUUUUAAAGUAUUGUCCUGCA
rnacentral:lncRNA from 1 species